UUGGAAUGAUAGUUUUCGAGAUUCCUACACGAAGGAUAGAAAUAUAUUAUAGGAUAAUGCUGCGCAUACUUUCGGUUGCAUUUCAUUUUAGUUUAGCAAUCUUGUGUAAAUUAAUUUAUUGAUUUUUUAUAAAAUAGAUAAUUUAAUUUGUUAGUUUUCUUAGACUGUAUCCGACAUAUAUCACAAGCUAUGUUGUAACAGUAAGACCUAUAAUGGAGU
rnacentral:lncRNA from 1 species